UCCACUGCCCCUCACGUGGGGUUCCUGUCCUGUACUACAUUGACACCGAUGUCAGAUUAGACAGUGGUUUCCUCACCCACCCAAACCUCCCAAAAAGCAAAGCUCAGCAAAAACAAAACUCCCCACACAAGGCCUUCUUUUUUCGGCAGCUGACACUAAUAAAAGGAGAUUGCAGGGAAAGGAGAAUGAAACAUUACAGCAACACAAACAACUUCAGUCGAACACUCAACAAUUCUAUCUUCGAAACUCCUUAACCCGUCAUCCCUAGGGGUUUUUUUCUUUGGCCACCUUGUUCCGUGCUGCACCCCCAGGCUUAGGCCAUCAGGCCAGCCACAUGCUCCCUGUUUGGAGGUCAGUGCUCCCUGAAACUCUCAUUCUCUCUCUAGUAAGUGGAGCCAGUUACGUCUUCUCUGUCUCUCAUCCUAAGCUGAGCCCCUCAGCUGAACCUGUGGAGGUCCUCUGCAGAAAACGGUGGGCAGGUUAUUCAGUUGGAUUUGACUUCCUUAGAAGUUGUGAAGAGCAUGCCCCCCAUCAUUACAUAACAGUUUGGAUUCUCAUGAAAGUGUGGCUAUAGUAUCUCAGUUUAUUUAUUUUUUAAUGCCAUUUACCUAGAGUUCAUAGAGCUAAGAAUAGAGAGCUACCUCAGCGUAAACAGAAGAAGUAGAGCACACAAAUGGUCAAGGCUAUGUGCAGGUGCAGUUUGGGUUCAGUGUUCUCAAAGAGCUGUAGUGCUUGAAAAAAAAAAGGCCUUAGUAAAUACUGUUCAAGGUCUCCUGUUAUCAGUAAAUGGCCUUGAUCUUGGCUAUUGGGUUCAGAGUUGAGCAGUCUCCAUCUAUAACCUCCCGACUCCUGUUGAUUUUGGAGGUUUUACAGUUCAGGGCCAACGCUUGCCAUCUCUGAGCUUUCUAACCUACACACAAAUGCACGCUUCACCUCUACUGUGAUUUCUCUGUCCUUCAUAGAUAUAGUUAGGAGUUUACCUCUUUGUGUCAACCUAUUAUUUAUAAGCUUUGAAAAGUGUGCCAUGUCAAGGUGAACCAAGACAGAGAAGAAAAUAAUUCUAAAUUAAUGAACACAUCUCAAUAGAACCAACUUUGCAUCCUCCUGCUUUAUUUGAGAUAGGUAUUUGUAAACACUUGUAGCACCUCGUGUGUGGCCCAUAUAAGAUGAACCCGAUGCGAACCGGAGGCUGGUGCAUGGAGAAAGUUCUUUCUUUCUUUGCGCUUCGGUUAAGCAGCCAACAAAAACAGCAUCUCCCCUGAUUUCAUUCAGAUGCUUGAACCAGCUUUCCAAUUAAGUUUUCACAGAUUAACGUCAUGGCAAUGGACUCACCGGAUUGCGUGUUUGAAUUUGUGUCUUUCUCAAAUGUCUGUGUCUCCUAUGUGUUUCCACAGGAGCUGGGUGGUGUACAGAGGCAGCAUGGCUUAGAGGAGAGAAAGUGACUAUAACCUGCAUCCUGGUCUUUAUUCCCCACUUACCAUCAGUGAGACCUUAGACGGAUCACUUCCCUCCUGCAAAAUGUUAUACAACAUAAUAAAUUUAUGUUGCAUCUACCAUCUAUUGAUUUAAGGCUUUCUUGCUUUGCUCAUUACUACCUGUAAAGUAGGGAUUAUACCUUUUAGUUGUUCUAACAUUUGUUUAUGUCAUAAGGGCUCUGUACUUUUUAAAUAAUCUGGAAUUUGAUGAAAAAUAAAGUCACACUCUUGGUAGCUGCCAUGAUCUCAUUGUCAUCCCCCAAACUCCUCUCAACAUAUGAUCAUAAUAAUCACAAGAUGACUCAGAAGCCUGCUUCUUUCUCCCAAAACAGGAAAUCAGUGCUGAUCAGUUCUUGGAAGAUUCUUUCAACUUUCAAAUGCUUUCAAGAUUUCUUGAGGAUCGUGACCAUAAGGGAAAGAGAUAAAAUAUAGAUGUAACAUAUUAGUCAUUUAUGCCCCUAGUUAAGUAUUAUUUGAACUUUCUUUGGAUGAAUUAGCUUACAUUUAGCUUAGGUUGAGUCCAUCCAUGCUUUUCUCCCCAUUUUGCUAGCUUUGUCAGAAAAGUCUGAAUUUUUUUUUCCUGUUUUAGUUUUGAACUCUAGACAAAAUUCUCCAGAAGUCAGUUUGGUGUAUGCAUAUGCAAGCUCACCGGUGGACUUAACUGGUUGUAUGCAGAAAGCAGGAUUUCCAUGAGAGCAAAGCCUCUCCUAACCCAGCAUCUUUUAAUGAGCAUCGCUUCUAAUCAGGCAAAUCCCGGAGCCCACCCGGACCAAAGGGAGGGAAAAUCAACCCUACUUCGCAAAGACUGGAAUAUGACUUUUAGUCUGCCAUAUUUCAUUUUCCAGAAACAUCCAUCUCAAACAUUUUUACCUAAAGUGUCAUUUCAAAAGGGCAAGAUGGAUUCUAAGAGUGACAGGGGCAAUAUUUGACCUAAGAUACCGAGAACUUUUUCUUUGUUUGUUCCGGAAAUGAGUAUACCCACACGUAAUGUAAUGUGUAGCACAAUGCCAAUGACCUAUUUGGGGGGUUUAUUGAUAUUUUCCUUGUUAUAUGGCUUCAGAAAAUACCCACUCCAGGCUAGGAUAAGUUAUUUCAAUAGAAUUUGUGGCUGGUUGGAUAGGGAGAAGAAAUCAUUCUUCCAAAAGGAAUUAAUGUUAAUGUUCGUAUUCAAAAGUAAUACUGAACCCUAAAAAUAAUGUCUCAGCGUCUGGUAGCUGUGCUUUAGCUACCUUAAUAAACAAGUAACACUUGUUCUUAUUUUCAAUCCAGUAUCUCUCAAUUAACAUCUGAGGACCAGCUAAUAGCAGCUAAUCAGCUGCUAGUGAGUACACAUCGCCUGUGGUAGUCAAGCCUUUGCGGAUAAAAUCAGCUACAAAACAACAACCUGAGCAAAACUGCUCCACCUUUUCAGACUAUAGGUUACGCCACUUGCUUUGUCAGCUUUGGAAUCAAGCCAUUGACUGAGGCACAGGAUGUGACCGCACAGAGGAAAGGCCACAUGAGGACACAGAGAAGACGGCCAUCUGCAGGCCGAGGAGAGGCCUGAGGGGAAACCAGAGCUGCCCACGCCUCGACCUCGGACGUCCAGCCUCCAAGAUGUUAAGCCCCCCAUUCCGUGUUAUUUUGUUGCGGCAGCUCUAGGAAGUGAAUACCCUGCUACAAGCUGAGUGAGUAUCCAUAGCUUGGAGACGCUGUGAUUCUGCACCACCUCCUGUAAAAGCACCUCCUUCGAAAGCACUGACAUGAAACCCUCAGAAUCGUCGUGUUCCAUCUCCCAUCCUCUUUAGAGACAUCUGUUUUCAAGGUAAAUUAAUACCAUUUCUCAGUUGAUUUGAAAUAUUCAUCUUUCAACAGCAUUUCCCCCUCUUUUCUCUUGCAUUGAAAAAUUAUGCAAAACAGAAUGACUCAUGUGAUGUGAUGGAUUAAAUUAGCUUUUGUGCAUUUCUCUGGGAAUUUAAGUCCCACUUCUAACAUAUUUUCUUCAAUAAAAUAUGUCCAGAGUUCCAAACAUUCUAUUCACAAGUGAAUAUUUGGAACAUACUCCUUAUAAACUGGGACUGUUUAAACAUAGUUGAAUGAAAGCAGUCAUAAAUCUUGACUUUUUUUUUGGCAAUAAGCUUUUAUCAUUAUGAGACAAGCAGCUUGACCUAAUUAUGAUAAGAGUAGAAAUCUAAGAGGUGGCUGGCAUUACAGCUUCAUUCUCCCGCCUAGAAAACUGUACAAUGUGUGGGUUACCUCACCAGGCCACGAGCAAAGGCCUAAUUAUAACCCAGAAUAGGCCUAGCCCCUCAGCAGGCUGAACACCUCUGAAACUUCACCGAAUAAAAAAAUAAGAGUAUUAAUAUGGCGCAUCCAGUAAAUGAAUGACUGAAUCGGAGGACGAAAAGUUCUGUCCGAUUCCCACCUGGCCUCUGCUCCCCUUCUGUCUCUGAUGCUGCUGGCUGGACCCCCCUGCCCCUCUGAGACCCUCCACUGGAUUUUAGCAAAAAGCAAACUGCCUUAUCACACAGCGUGGGCCUGAGCGCAGGCCAGCUGUGUUCUCAGUUCUGUGUGUAACUCUUUCCCAAUAUUUUAAUAGACGGGAGAUCAAUAGAGAGAAGCAGAAAGGUCUGCUCUCAAAGCAGCCAAAUAAAGCAUUUGCAGCUUGUUGGUGCCUGGGCUCAGAAAAACAGAGACACUGGAGUACACACCACCUCCACACAAAUCAUUCCUUCCCUUCGCCACCAUCUGCAAACGUGUGUGCUCCUACUAUGUGUGAGAUGCUGGCUAGGAGCUUCUGUGAGCUGUACAGUUGAGCAAAAUAGAACUACUCUCCAUGUUGGGCUGGCAUUCCCUGGAAUCACUCCCAAAAAGUGAUGAAGCAAAGGUACUUAUGGCCAAAUUUCUGAGAAACUGACUGCUGACUCUGCUUGAUGGUCAAGUUUCCAUGGCCAAAGCACUCCCAGGAGCACCGGCCCUCACUCGCCAGCAACAUACCCAGGUCCCUCACUCCCAGGGACAGCCCUUGAUGACAGGCUGUGUUACCUGGAGCACUGGAUACUCAAGGGGAUGCUGUCACCAAGCUCUCUGGACCUCGUCCCUAAUCACAUUCUCAGCGACACUCUAAGACAAACUCUGAAGAAAAAUAGUUUCCCAUACGUAUUUCCCUAUAUGUACAUACAUUUUUUAAACUAUGGAAACCAUUUAUUAGAAAACAAUGGUAAAAUGAUAAUUGAGUGUUAUGUGAGUUUAUUUUCCAGGUUCAUGCUUGGAGCUAAUGAUAGUCAUCUUGAAUUUGCCCAGUUUGGGGAAAGGAGAGACCAGAUCUAGUCAUGACUCUGCCAUCACUUAACAAUCGAUGUCAAUGACCUUGGGAGUGUCAGAGCCUGUAGAACUGCUGUUGGUCUGUAAGGCAAAAGGAUGAAGUUAAGUUAUUGCCAUGGUCCUUCCUAAUCUUAUUACUAAUUAUGGAGAGAAUGAGUCAAAGAAGCAGUCAGAAAUAAUGGUGAGAUUGCCAACAUGGACGUCAAUUAGGUCAGUUUGGAGCCCUGGGCUCUGUGUGAAGUUGGGGCAAGAAUUUGACAAGCCGGCUGUACAGUCAAUGAGAUUAGAUAUUGGAGACCUGCUUCGUACAGAGUAAGGACUUAAGUAUGAAAUGCAUCGGCUGAACUGACCCUCAGAAGUCACUGACUCCGCUGUCUCUGGUUUGGAUGGCGGGUUCCUUAAUAGUAAAUGUAAAUGGGUUAAUUUAGUGGAUGCAGUAUUUGCUGUGCAAACAGGAGGUUUCAGACCCAAGCCUGCCCGGUAACUUGCUGUGCAGGCUUCUUCACAAAAUCACUUCUCCUUCACCAGAUGUCAAUUUCUAACUAAAAUGAGAGCUUAAACUGGAGACUUUGAAUCGCCUACUGUGCUCUAUGAAGCAUCAGUGCCGCUGUUUUGAUGUCACUUUCUAGGUUUGAGCCUCUGACUUGGUAUCAACUAAGGUGGAUGGAGAAGGGGCUGGUGAGUAUGGUGUUGGCAUUUCAUCCUCUUUUAAUGAGACUAAGGCCUUAAUCCCAACCGCCUUGAAAAUGUCUCACACUGAUCCUGAGAGGAACAACGUGAGGUUCCACAGUUAACAAGUCCAAGAUGUUGGUGAGUGGGAGGAAGACCCUCCUGUACAAAGGGGAGCAGAGUUUAACACUACAAUACUGUACUGGGUUGUGGUUAGAGUCUGUUGCAAGGUGUGUGUGUAGGGGGGAGGCACUCAGCAGCCUGGCCACCUUGGACCAGUUGAGCAUGGCAGCUGCAGUGUCCUCACGCUCUGGACAGAUGAUACUCCAACCCGUGGAGAUUUUAGGACAGGAAUGACAGCGUUGUUCACGUGACCUAUCUUCAAACCUAGACAAGUCAAGACAGUCUGCCACUGGGACUUGGGCAGCGUGGGGAACGCCAGCUCCAGAGUGGGAACCAAACAGCCUUGUAUUGGAAGAAGAUGCCAUCUAGGAUUUUCAAGAUGCCGUAGGACUUUCAAAUCCAAAUACUCUGCUACUCUGACACUUGCCAGCCCUGUCACCCUGGGUCAGAACUUACCCUGCCUGGAGUUCCCUUUCUCCCCUGUAAUACAGGAACAAGAGUACCAGGCACCUCACAGGACUCUUAUGAGGGUCAAGUGACACUUCACGUGUGAAGUGUGUGAGGCUGGACCUGGACCACAGUGACCCUGAAUAAAU